CGUCACCAUAUUCACUUUAUCUUUUCACUUAAACACAGAAAUCCCCCACCCUCAAGAACCCUAAUCCCUAAUCGCCAUUUUUGUGCUUUCAUCUCACAGCGUAAUUCUCGAAUUCCACAUCCACCGUCAAUGAUUCCUCACAACCCAAACCACCUCCACCCUCUGAUUCCACCACCUCAUCACAACCCGAACCGCCACCAAUCCAUCAAUUCCCGAAUAACUGCCACCGUCCCAUUCCACCACACUCUGUUAUCCCUUACAGUUCUCAGUUAAAUCUUCAUUAAAUUAGGGUCUCACGAUCUAUAUGUUACCAAUGGCUCCAGUGAUUAUGUUGUCGUUGGGAUUUGUGGCGGUGUUAGUCAUAAGCAGCAAGUUUUGGAGAUCGGCGAGAUUAGACAGAGUUUCUCAUUUCUCGGUGGUUGCAAUUUUGGUUUUCCUCUUUAUUGUACAUGUUGUUACUUUGCUUGCAUUUUCUUACAUUUAUAAAGAAGGUGAAGUUUUGUUUUGAGUUUCAGUUUAGUGUUUUCUUUUGUGUCAUAUCACAAUGGAUUUUCCUUUUUUAGACUUGUUGAAAUCAGCAUUAUGGAUUUUGAUAGAUUUGGGUAAGGUUUUUUGUUUGGUUUUUAGGUGAACUAAUUGAGUGAGAAUGAUGUUUGAAUCUGUGAUUUUCAUUGAUUUGGGAUUUUGCAUUUGGUUGAAUUGGGGUUUAGUUAUUUGGGAACUUAAUAGAUUAGGAUGUUUGUUUAAUCAAUAUUGAUUAUACACUUUGUUAUUUUGAAGCGAUUUUGUUUACGUUGUUAUUUUGAAGCGAUUUUGUUUACGUUGUUUUGAAGUGAUUUCGUUUAUGUUGUUUUAAGAUUGUUAAUCUGUGGUUGCAGAAAUAAGUAACAAUGGUUGUGGUGAUACUGAUGAUAUAAAGGGGAUUAUGAUUUUCUUACAAAUGUAACAACAAUACAGAAGAAAGUCCUUGAUUUUUGGCAUAGCUCGGAGGGACAUGGUAGAGAUUCGAGAUACUGGGAUAAGGCUGAUAGGAGAAGGGAUGGUGAUCAUGAUGAGGAUAUAAAGGAACAAAUAAGAAGGUUUUUGUUUGCAAGUUUGAUUUACUGUGUUUGUGUGUGCAUGACAACUAAGGAAACAUUUUGCUCAUAAUUAGGCGGUGUGCAUUUGCGAGAAAAAAAAUUGCUUGGUGAUGCUUCAUGUUGUGUAGUUUCUUAGGAGUGAGGGUGGAGAACUAAGAUUACAAAUUUGAAGGGCAGCUCAGUUGAAAAGUAGAAGACUAAUCAUUUCAAGGGGUCUCCACAUCAGUGAAAGCUUAUUUUGUCAUGAAUUUGUUUUCAUUGUUGUUUCUACUAACACCUGCAUGGUACGUUCGCUCAUUCAUUUAUAGUCUCUAGUUUGCAUUAUACCUGAAAGUUGUGUUCCCAUUUUCUGCAGCCAGGAUAGACUACCUGAGAUUGAUGCUAUGACUUAAAAGUUUUUUAUUUCAAUUAGUUCUCUCUACAAAAGUACAGUAGACAAAAAAAUAAAGAACCUUUCUCUUUGGAUUUAUGGUGAAAUUCUAGUAAUCAUUUCAUAUCUGAAACAUCUGUACAUGUUGAAUGAUAUUGAACAAGCCAUAAUGGAGAUUGAAAAUAUCUUUAUCACUGAGCCUCCAGCCCUUUUGUACAAAUGUAAACCACAUUUGGCUCGCUUCCUCACGGGACUUGUUGGCAUGGAGUUUUUUAGAAAGUGAUGACUCUGAUGCAAAAAGUUGUGAUGCAUGGAAAUUAUUUCAGUUGAUCUUGACAGAGCGCCACUGGGCAUUCACUCACUUGUUAAUAGCCGCAUUUGGACAUUUUGCUGCUAACGCAACUUGCACUCAGCUAUGGAGAUUUCUUCCACAGAAUGAAACACUUUCAUAUAUAUGAUAUAGUUUCAGGAUUAGAGGUGACUAAUGUGGGAUUUAUUGCUGAGCUUAAAGCAUUUUAUGAUAAGCAAAUUGCUCUUAUAAUAAGUAUUUUAUACUAAUACAGAUGGUUCAUAACAUUUGAGUCAACACUGAACAGAGUGAGGGGUUUGAGGGUAUGGAAAUUAUGCUAACUGAGGAUUGGUAUGGUGACAGGCUUUAGAUUAUGUCAUAGAAGAAGCAGGGAAAAAUGGAGUCAGGUUGCUUCUUAGCUUAUUAAAUAACCUGCAACCAUAAUAGUCAGGUGGGAAGAGUCAGGAUGUGAAAUGGGCGUGGCAAGGAGAGGAUUAAGUGUAUCCAAUGAUUCUUUCUUCUAUGAUCCAUCAAUUUGAAGUUAUUUCAAGAAUUACAUGAAGGUUUCAUGAGGAUGAGAAAACAAUUGAAACUCGAGUAAAACUCGUUCACAAGUGGAUGAUAUCCAACAUUGAAGACGAUGACGAAGUACUAAAGAAGUUGGUCUUGUUCUCCAAAUACGGAUUGUCAAAAAAUGAACUAAAACUUCACCAUAGCCGCCCGAUAAAAGAUGUACGAAACAAUUUUGAACAUCGUUUACGAAUCUGCAAAGAAAAACCGAUCGGGAGCAGGUGCUCUGGUUUGGAAAUUCAGGUUGGAAGCUCUCUAAAGCUUGGGAUGUCGAUUCCUUCCACCUAUAGAAUGGCACUCAGAAUUUGGACUUGUUGGUAAUUACGACGCUACUGGAAAAAAUUCAAAUAAUUCCAAGUAUGGAUCAGGUUUCGUAUCACUGCUAACACCGUAAAUUUGGAGAUAUUUCGUACUAUAAUAGUUGACCCCUCUGUUAUUUUCAACACUCAAACUGAGCCAAAUUUUGUGAAUGUAAUCUCCAUAUGGAUUGUUUGUAAUCACAUUCAAUUGAAAAUAAAUACUUUAGUUCUUGUAUA